rnacentral:rRNA from 1 species
GACGAACGCUCCCUGAAAGCUUAACACAUGCAAGUCGAACGGAAAGGCCCUGCUUUUGUGGGGUGCUCGAGUGGCGAACGGGUGAGUAACACGUGAGUAACCUGCCCUUGACUUUGGGAUAACUUCAGGAAACUGGGGCUAAUACCGGAUAGGAGCUCCUGCUGCAUGGUGGGGGUUGGAAAGUUUCGGCGGUUGGGGAUGGACUCGCGGCUUAUCAGCUUGUUGGUGGGGUAGUGGCUUACCAAGGCUUUGACGGGUAGCCGGCCUGAGAGGGUGACCGGCCACAUUGGGACUGAGAUACGGCCCAGACUCCUACGGGAGGCAGCAGUGGGGAAUAUUGCACAAUGGGCGGAAGCCUGAUGCAGCAACGCCGCGUGCGGGAUGACGGCCUUCGGGUUGUAAACCGCUUUCGCCUGUGACGAAGCGUGAGUGACGGUAAUGGGUAAAGAAGCACCGGCUAACUACUUGCCAGCAGCCGCGGUGAUACGUAGGGUGCGAGCGUUGUCCCGAUUUAUUGGGCGUAAGGGCUCGUAGGUGGUUGAUCGCGUCGGAAGUGUAAUCUUGGGGCUUAACCCUGAGCGUGCUUUCGAUACGGGUUGACUUGAGGAAGGUAGGGGAGAAUGGAAUUCCUGGUGGAGCGGUGGAAUGCGCAGAUAUCAGGAGGAACACCAGUGGCGAAGGCGGUUCUCUGGGCCUUUCCUGACGCUGAGGAGCGAAAGCGUGGGGAGCGAACAGGCUUAGAUACCCUGGUAGUCCACGCUGUAAACGGUGGGUACUAGGUGUGGGGUCCAUUCCACGGGUUCCGUGCCGUAGCUAACGCUUUAAGUACCCCGCCUGGGGAGUACGGCCGCAAGGCUAAAACUCAAAGGAAUUGACGGGGCCCCGCACAAGCGGCGGAGCAUGCGGAUUAAUUCGAUGCAACGCGUAGAACCUUACCUGGGUUUGACAUGGAUCGGGAGUGCUCAGAGAUGGGUGUGCCUCUUUUGGGGUCGGUUCACAGGUGGUGCAUGGCUGUCGUCAGCUCGUGUCGUGAGAUGUUGGGUUAAGUCCCGCAACGAGCGCAACCCUUGUUCACUGUUGCCAGCACGUUAUGGUGGGGACUCAGUGGAGACCGCCGGGGUCAACUCGGAGGAAGGUGGGGAUGACGUCAAGUCAUCAUGCCCCUUAUGUCCAGGGCUUCACGCAUGCUACAAUGGCUGGUACAGAGAGUGGCGAGCCUGUGAGGGUGAGCGAAUCUCGGAAAGCCGGUCUCAGUUCGGAUUGGGGUCUGCAACUCGACCUCAUGAAGUCGGAGUCGCUAGUAAUCGCAGAUCAGCAACGCUGCGGUGAAUACGUUCCCGGGGCU